UCCUUAGCUGUGAAGUGAACAUAUGCCUUCUUACUGGGUAUGGAAGAGGCUUAAUUAUUGUUUGUAAAGCACGUGGCAGCUCCAUGAAAAACAGCUAUCUAAAUGAUGCAUUCUCUGCUGAAGGCAAUAGGGAGAGUUUGUUGGAGCAUUAUUUUUCAGUUGUCUUCAUAGGGGAGAGCUUUUAAAAGAGCCUUGUUUUCUGUAAGCUUAAGUGUUUCUUGCCACCUAGUUACUACUAGAGGAGGUUGACACGGUUCAUUUCAGCCUGAGGUGGGGAAGCCCACAGAGAAGAAACAGAUCCAGAGGGGUCACCGUUCUCAGCACUGGAACAAGAAUACAAAUCUUGUCACUCUACUGUACCCUACUUCCUACCUUUGUGCCAAAGGAGCUCGCCCUCGGGACUUGCUGCCAAUCCCCAAGAUUUACCUGUUGACUGAGGGGACCCAGCAAGGUCUCUUCACAGCCCAUUCACGUUCUGGCCUCCUGAAAUUUAGUUUUUCCUCUAAGAACAGUGACGUUUACCCCUAUUUACAGGAGGUCAAAUUUCCACGCCCUGCCUCUCCUCUGAGCCAGGUAUUCCUCAUUGCCCUGACUUCUGCAACUUAGUGAAGACCUCAGUCUGCUAUGAAAACACCUCUUUUUCUGCCAUCACCACCUUGAGGUCAGGUUAUUCCACACAUCACUGAUGGCCUACCCAGGCUCCCAUCCACUGUGGCAACCACCCUGCCCUCCUGUAUUCUGCUUACAGGUGGGAUGUGCUCCAUCAUGGCCAGACUGUUUCCACCCAGCAGUGGCAACAGAAUCUUAAAGGACAGUCCUGGGCAAGUCAGUGUCACCAGGUUAUCUUUCUAACCCACUGACCAUGACUG